rnacentral:misc_RNA from 1 species
AAGGAUCAUUAAACAAUAGAGCUGUUCGUCCCGCGACGUUCAACUUGAAAACACACCCCCCGCGUACCUCUCCACUUUUGCUUCCCCGGGGUGCCUCGCCGGUCCCCGGGGGAGGUCAGUCACGAGGCCCGGCCGUCCGAGGCGGUCGGGCCGACGACCGACACCCUUUCGAGUUCUGUCUGGAUGCCUGUCUGAACGCGAUUGAAGCAAUCUCAAAAAACUUUCAACAACGGAUCUCUUGGUUCUC